rnacentral:lncRNA from 1 species
CUGGGCAACAGCAGUCAGGCCAAUGGAAGAAGACUUUUGCCUUGGACUUAAUCACACUGUGGCCCAGGUUACCGAUGUGCGGCUCCAGCCCCACUCCAUGCCCCUGACUUUCCCAGUGGGUGAGAUGAUCUAUCCCUGGGUGUGGAGACAGCGGAGGAAUACCUCAGCAUUCAGGAUUGCCCAGUCAAAGGAAGACUUGCUGGCAGUCCUCUCAAGUGACUGACUCCCUGCUCAGGGGGCGCAGAUGCUAGCUCAUGCCUGCACCGUGUCCUUCCUGGCCUCUCUUUCUGUUGCCUCUGCUCGGCGGUCCUGCUGGUGGGAUUCCCUCUGUGGUACUGGAAGGCUUGACCCUGCAGCCUGUCAACUUCAGUCUGUUCUGCUCUGCUCUGCCCUGGCCUCCUAUUCCCCAGGGAUUCCUUAAUAAAUACAGUGACCUUACACCCAAUUGUCUGUAAUC